AUUGAACGCUGGCGGCAUGCCUUACACAUGCAAGUCGAACGGUAACGCGGGGCAACCUGGCGACGAGUGGCGAACGGGUGAGUAAUACAUCGGAACGUGCCCAGUAGUGGGGGAUAGCCCGGCGAAAGCCGGAUUAAUACCGCAUACGACCUACGGGUGAAAGCAGGGGAUCGCAAGACCUUGCGCUAUUGGAGCGGCCGAUGUCAGAUUAGGUUGUUGGUGGGGUAAAAGCCUACCAAGCCGACGAUCUGUAGCUGGUCUGAGAGGACGACCAGCCACACUGGGACUGAGACACGGCCCAGACUCCUACGGGAGGCAGCAGUGGGGAAUUUUGGACAAUGGGCGCAAGCCUGAUCCAGCCAUGCCGCGUGCGGGAAGAAGGCCUUCGGGUUGUAAACCGCUUUUGUCAGGGAAGAAACGCUCUGGGCUAAUACCCCGGGGUAAUGACGGUACCUGAAGAAUAAGCACCGGCUAACUACGUGCCAGCAGCCGCGGUAAUGU
rnacentral:rRNA from 1 species